GAUGAACGCUGGCGGCGUGCCUAACACAUGCAAGUCGAACGGAGUCCAGCCUUUAAGACCUUCGGGUCAAAGAGGGGAAGACUGAGUGGCGGACGGGUGAGUAACACGUGGGCAACCUGGCUCAUAGAGGGGGAUAACAGAGAGAAAUUUCUGCUAAUACCGCAUAAGCACACACUGCCGCAUGGCAGGGGGUGAAAAGAGAAUCGCUAUGAGAUGGACCCGCGUCUGAUUAGCCAGUUGGCAGGGUAAGAGCCUACCAAAGCGACGAUCAGUAGCCGAUCUGAGAGGAUGAACGGCCACAUUGGGACUGAGACACGGCCCAAACUCCUACGGGAGGCAGCAGUGGGGGAUACUGCACAAUGGGGGGAACCCUGAUGCAGCGACGCCGCGUGAGUGAAGAAGUAUUUCGGUAUGUAAAGCUCUAUCAGCAGGGAAGAUAAUGACAGUACCUGAAUAAGAAGCCCCGGCUAACUACGUG
rnacentral:rRNA from 1 species